UAUCCACGUAUGUGACACGUAUCACACUGGAAAAACACAGGCAUGCUGACCUCUCUCGUUCCCUUUGAAGCACUUAAGAUCAUAUCCAAGAGCUGCAUUCCAGCUGUGGCGCCUUCUGAGCUCAGGUCGACCGCUCGUAUCAGAUUUGCUCUAGCAACUCGCUGAACUGACUCAAGUUUGUUGCCAGGAAUAAGAAAUGCAUGAUGGCGAGCGUCUCGGAAGGCUACUGGAGGAGCUGGCGGCUGGACCCAGAGUUUUCCCCGUUCUCCCGCGGGCCGUCCCUUCCCGCUGC